UACAGAGGGGGCAAGCGUUAUUCGGAAUUAUUGGGCGUAAAGAGCUCGUAGGCGGCUUGUCGCGUCGAAUGUGAAAACCCGGGGCUCAACCCCGGGCCUGCAUUCGAUACGGGCAGACUAGAGUUCGGUAGGGGAGUCUGGAAUUCCUGGUGUAGCGGUGAAAUGCGCAGAUAUCAGGAGGAACACCGGUGGCGAAGGCGGGACUCUGGGCCGAUACUGACGCUGAGGAGCGAAAGCGUGGGGAGCAAACAGG
rnacentral:rRNA from 1 species